GUGCCACUAGUAUAAAUAGGGGUGAUUGGAUCAUUUGUAAGCAAGCCAAAUAAGAAGCCAACAUCUACAACAACUAAGACAACUACUACACUUCUUCCAACUACUACUUCUACAUCCUACUAUCUCUACAUUUUGUCUACCUUAUCAACUACUCCUUUCACAACCUUUAAAUACUAACAAGAUCAAAUAUUGGCAAAAUGAAAAGAGGCUAGGAGCAGAAAAACAAGGAUUGUGAAAGGAUGUACUUGAAUCUAAAUAUAACUCAUGAUGGAACAUAAGGCUGCAAAACUUAACCAAGAAAUGAUCAUAUGGUGGAAAGAUAUAUAUAUAUAUAUAUAUAUAUAUAUAUAUAUAUAUAUAUAUAUAUAUAUAUAUAUAUAUAUAUAUAUAUAUAUAUAUAUAUAAUAUGUGGGGAAGAGGCUCUUGAUAACAAAUUUGAUAAUAGUGUAAGUUGGAGGGUAGGGAGAGAGAAUAUUGUAAAAUUUUAGGAAGACAAAUGGAUGGGAGAUAUACCUAUGAGGGAUAGGUUCCCAAGAUGAUACUUCAUCUCAAAUCCUAAGGAAAAUUUGACAGAGCAUGAUGGGGAAGGAGAGAUGGAUCUUGGGAGUGGGAACUAAUUUGGAGGAGAGAAAGAUGUAUAUGAGAAAAAUAUCAAGAACAAUAGUUUUAAAUAGUUAUUUUUGCCCAAUAUCUUAGAAGAGAAAAAAAAGGACAAAUGGGUUUGGAAAUUUGAUGAGAUAGGAUUAUUUUUUAUCAACUUUACAUAUAACACCCUACAACACAACCUGAUUGAUGAAAAUGAGACAUUGUUCAAAUUUUUUUGGAGU
rnacentral:lncRNA from 1 species